rnacentral:rRNA from 1 species
UACGUAGGGUGCAAGCGUUGUCCGGAAUUAUUGGGCGUAAAGAGCUCGUAGGCGGUCUGUCGCGUCUGCUGUGAAAACUCAGGGCUUAACCCUGAGCUUGCAGUGGGUACGGGCAGACUAGAGUGCGGUAGGGGAGACUGGAAUUCCUGGUGUAGCGGUGAAAUGCGCAGAUAUCAGGAGGAACACCGGUGGGCGAAGGCGGGUCUCUGGGCCGAUACUGACG